rnacentral:rRNA from 1 species
GAUGAACGCUGGCGGCGUGCCUAAUACAUGCAAGUCGAGCGAACCACUUCGGUGGUGAGCGGCGAACGGGUGAGUAACACGUAGGUUAUCUGCCCAUCGGACGGGGACAACGAUUGGAAACGAUCGCUAAUACCGGAUAGGACGAAAGUUUAAAGGUGCUUCUGGCACCGCUGAUGGAUGAGCCUGCGGCGCAUUAGCUAGUUGGUAGGGUAAAGGCCUACCAAGGCGACGAUGCGUAGCCGACCUGAGAGGGUGAACGGCCACACUGGGACUGAGAUACGGCCCAGACUCGUACGGGAGGCAGUAGGGAAUCUUCGGCAAUGGGCGAAAGCCUGACCGAGCAACGCCGCGUGAAUGAUGAAGGCCUUCGGGUUGUAAAAUUCUGUUAUAAGGGAAGAACGACUUUAGUAGGAAAUGGCUAAAGUGUGACGGUACCUUAUGAGAAAGCCACGGCUAACUACGUGCCAGCCGCCGCAGUAA